CGGUGACAAACCGGAGGAAGGUGGGGAUGACGUCAAGUCAUCAUGGCCCUUACGGCCUGGGCUACACACGUGCUACAAUGGUCGGUACAAAGGGUUGCCAAGCCGCGAGGUGGAGCUAAUCCCAUAAAACCGAUCGUAGUCCGGAUCGCAGUCUGCAACUCGACUGCGUGAAGUCGGAAUCGCUAGUAAUCGUGAAUCAGAAUGUCACGGUGAAUACGUUCCCGGGCCUUGUACACACCGCCCGUCACACCAUGGGAGUGGGUUGCUCCAGAAGUAGU
rnacentral:rRNA from 1 species